CAAUAGCGUAUAUUUAAGUUGCUGCAGUUAAAAAGCUCGUAGUUGGAUUUCGGGUGGGAAUGGCCGGUCCGCCGUUUCGGUGUGCACUUGCUACGCCCACCUUGCUGCCGGGGACGUGCUCUUGAGUUCACGCUCGGGACACGGAGUCGGCGAGGUUACUUUGAGUAAAUUAGAGUGUUCAAAGCAGGCCUACGCUCUGAAUACAUUAGCAUGGAAUAACACGAUAGGACUCUGGCCUAUCUUGUUGGUCUGUAGGACCGGAGUAAUGAUUAAGAGGGACAGUCGGGGGCAUUCGUAUUUCAUUGUCAGAGGUGAAAUUCUUGGAUUUAUGAAAGACGAACUACUGCGGAAGCAUUUGCCAAGGAUGUUUUCAUUAA
rnacentral:rRNA from 1 species